rnacentral:sRNA from 1 species
ACUUUUUCACACUCGCUGGAUUUUGGCAAUGCUUUAGGAGGCUGAUGGGAGAAAUUCCCUAGAAGUCAUGAUUUAAUGAGGCAGAAAGGUAGAAGAUGAUUUAGCGGGGUUGGAGGCUGUGUCGGUAUAUUUAGAAACACACGAAAAAAACGUCAAGGAAUCGGUUCCUCACCACAUCCAGCUGUGUGGAAAUCCUCCAGCUGUGUUCUGGAAGAGUUAUCUGCCCUUCCAAUAGUUGGGAGAAAUUGAAGUAAAAAGCAAUUUGAAGUCAAAAUUUGCCCAAACAUUGAUUUCUAAGCAACAUUUUAUCUCUUUCAGAUAUUGGUGACAAUAUGGACAUCGAUCUAGAUGAAGUUGAUUACAAUCAGAUCCCUGGUUAUGUUCCGAUUACUAACGCCGUUCCAAACUGGAAAAAAGACAUGAUCAUCAAGAAAAAUGAAGAAAAAGUCAGGGAAUAUGUGGAGGAGCUUAGGCGGAAGAAGGCAGAGGCCCUGAAGUGGAAGGAUGUCCCUGAGUGGAAGAAAAAAAUGUUAGAGAAGAAGGAACAGCAAAAGCGGGAACAGGAUUCGGCUAUGACACAAGCAGCGCAGCAGAAGGAGCAAGCAAAGACGGCCAAAAUAAAACCUGUGUUACAGAAACGCCAGUCCUUCGAUGAAACCCAAACCAACAAUAAUACAACCUUUGUCACUAAAAACCCUGUAUCCCCUGUUACUAAGCAACCCGUUUCCCCACCUGUUGCUAAGCAACCAGAAAAAUCACCCGUAACCAAGCAACCAGAAUCACCACCUGUUACUAGCAUGCCAAAGAAUCCUAUCAAAGUCACAAAUGAUGUAAGGAAAUAACCAGGGUAUAUGCUGGUAAAAUAUAGGAAAAAGUAACAUGAGCAAAGGGAAGAAGAGGAGCGAAAGCGAGAGGCAAGGAGAAGACAACUGGAAAUGCAGGCACAAAUGGAGAAAGAAUUGGCAGAUGUUCCAGAGUGGAAGAGAGAGAUUAUGAUGAAGAAAGGCGGAGCUCCGACCAACUGGGGCGAUGAACGAGAGGAUAUCAACCGCGACGAAAAUAAUGAAGAAAACCAAAAUUACGAGUGACACAAUUCCAAAAACAAAUAGGUCACAAUUUAUUUUUAUAUAAAUCAUCGGUGAUUCCGCACUGUGGGACUGUAUAGUCUUUAAGAAGACAAAUUAAGUAACUUGAUUGGUCGGCCAAUUUUAUCUUCAUUUGUGUAUCCUGUCUGAAGUUGGGAAGGGGGGUGUUGGAACUAUGGGUAAAUGACUUGUAAUAUAUGUUUUAUCUUUUUGCAUGAAAUGCAAUUUUGAUAUCCCUUAAUCCAAAUCUACAUCAACAUGAGUCCGAUUUGCUGGUUUGAGUAUUUUGAAAAAAAAGAUAUUGCUUGAAUAUGUUGCAUAAAACUUGUUCAUUGAUUUAAUUCAAUUUUUGACUAUCAUUUUGUUUCUUUGAUUUUCUGUUCCCAGCUACGCCAAAACUUAUUGUUUAUAGAUUAAUGAUUAGUAUUUGAGGCCUUAGACAAUUUCUGUUCCUUGAUGAAAUCCGUUUUUUGAGAUUCUGCCAUGAAUAGGUUUGCUCUAAAGUGCCUUUGUACAGGCUCCCUAAUUUAAGUAAAAUCAUUUGUGUUUGAGGUGCAAUUUUGUUGAUGAUGUACGUAACGUUAACAUCCUUAGUUCAGAUUUCGGUCAUGAAUUUUUUUCAAUAUAAAUAAUACAGAAAAAUUGUAAUUUCAUGUUUAUACAAUACAGACUUAAGCUAUGUGUGAUUUAUCAAUUCAGAUUGGUUAAUUUUCUGUGAGGUCAUAAUUCAUUAUAAGCAGAAGUUUUGUAGACUUGUAGUUAUUUCCCUUGCCUUGCUAGUUUUCUAUUAUGGCUGGGUUUUUCAUAUGCCUGAAUUUCAUGUGAAAUAUUGAUACAUUUGUGUUAUUGUUGAUGAGACUUUUACAACCUGUGGUUCAUCAAUAUAUUCGUCAGUCUCCAGAUGUUGAUACCUGACGAUGAACAAUGUCUAUGUCAGAAAAAACAAUUAACUGAACUGGUUUUUGUUGUCAGUGUAUAUUAACAUGUGUUUGUCAGUUGAGCUUUUAUUUAAGUAGUGAUGUGUACAUGGCCAUGUUUGAAUGAACUCGGUAUAAUUAUGCCUUUUUAUAUACAAUGUACGUUCAUUCACUUAAACGGUGCUUUAUUAUUAUUAAUAUAUUUUUUGUUUUAAUUCCUUCAUUUUGUCAUUAUGGUUGACUUUAAUUAACUGUGUUGAGCCUUUUCAGGCAAAAGCAGAUAGUUUUAAUAGAGAACGUUUUACUUGUAACCGACAAUCCUUUUAUUUCACAGAUAAAUAUUAAAAGCUUAAAUUAUUCCCACCUGGAUAUUUACCUGGCACUUAAAGGAAAACUUUUAACUUUGAUUGACAGCCAGUAUUUCUUAGCAUAGUUUUGUGUUUGUAAACAAAAUCUACCAAAGCAGAGCGUUAUCUGUCUGUAUAUGACAAAUAAAUCGUCCUACCCUC